GGACGGGUGAGUAACAUUUAGGAAUCUGCCUAGUAGUGGGGGAUAGCUCGGGGAAACUCGAAUUAAUACCGCAUACGACCUACGGGUGAAAGGGGGCGCAAGCUCUUGCUAUUAGAUGAGCCUAAAUCAGAUUAGCUAGUUGGUGGGGUAAAGGCCCACCAAGGCGACGAUCUGUAACUGGUCUGAGAGGAUGAUCAGUCACACCGGAACUGAGACACGGUCCGGACUCCUACGGGAGGCAGCAGUGGGGAAUAUUGGACAAUGGGGGCAACCCUGAUCCAGCCAUGCCGCGUGUGUGAAGAAGGCCUUUUGGUUGUAAAGCACUUUAAGCAGGGAGGAGAGGCUAAUGGUUAAUACCCAUUAGAUUAGACGUUACCUGCAGAAUAAGCACCGGCUAACUCUGUGCCAGCAGCCGCGGUAAUACAGAGGGUGCGAGCGUUAAUCGGAAUUACUGGGCGUAAAGCGAGUGUAGGUGGCUCAUUAAGUCACAUGUGAAAUCCCCGGGCUUAACCUGGGAACUGCAUGUGAUACUGGUGGUGCUAGAAUAUGUGAGAGGGAAGUAGAAUUCCAGGUGUAGCGGUGAAAUGCGUAGAGAUCUGGAGGAAUACCGAUGGCGAAGGCAGCUUCCUGGCAUAAUAUUGACACUGAGAUUCGAAAGCGUGGGUAGCAAACAGGAUUAGAUACCCUGGUAGUCCACGCCGUAAACGAUGUCUACUAGCCGUUGGGGUCCUUGAGACUUUAGUGGCGCAGUUAACGCG
rnacentral:rRNA from 1 species